UACGUAGGGUGCAAGCGUUGUCCGGAAUCAUUGGGCGUAAAGCGCGCGUAGGCGGCCCGGUAAGUCCGCUGUAAAAGUCAAAGGCUCAACCUUUGAAUGCCGGUGGAUACUGUCGGGCUAGAGUCCGGAAGAGGCGAGUGGAAUUCCUGGUGUAGCGGUGGAAUGACGCAGAUAUCAGGAGGAACACCAAUAGCGAAGGCAGCUCGCUGGGACGGUACUGACGCUGAGGCGCGAAAGCGUGGGGAGCGAACAGG
rnacentral:rRNA from 1 species